GAUGAACGCUGGCGGCGUGCCUAAUACAUGCAAGUCGAGCGAACAGACGAGGAGCUUGCUCCUCUGACGUUAGCGGCGGACGGGAGAGUAACACGUGGAUAACCUACCUAUAAGACUGGGAUAAUUUCGGGAAACCGGAGCUUAUACCGGAUAACAUGUUGCACCGCAUGGUUCAACAGUGAAAGACGGUCUUGCUGUCACUUAUAGAUGGAUCCGCGCAGCAUUAGCUAGUUGGGAAGGUAACGGCUUACCAAGGCAACGAUGGGUAGCCGACCUGAAAGGGUGAUCGGCCACACUGGACCUGAAGCACGAUCCAGACACCUACGGGAGGCAGCAGUAGGAGAUCUUCCGCAAUGGGCGAAAUCCUGAAGAAUCAACGCCGCGUGAGUGAAGGAGGUCUUCGGAUCGUGAGACUCUGUUAUGAGGGAGGAACAAAUAUGUAAGUAACUAUGCACGUCUUGACGGUACCUAAUCAGAAAGCCACGGCUAACUACGUG
rnacentral:rRNA from 1 species